GAUUGAUUGGCUACAUCACAGGGUUCCGAUACCUUUUCCUGGAGUAAUUGGCCGUCUUGUGAGACCUAACUAGGACUGGACACUCCUGGCAAUUCCUGACACGACGAUGAGACUGGUACGACGAACGACCGCUUGCUACACCCAUUGAUUCGCUACCUCCCCUCUCCCCACACCAAUCACAUGCUGAAUGAGCACCGUCAAUCGUAGCAGUAGAGAUUCAAGCUGAUUCCUGUGAUCUGCAUUGAUUUGGGUUCCUGUGCUGUACCGGGGCUGCAGGAGGAUCACAAGAUCUCUCCUGCUUCCCCCGGGAUGGCGAGAGCUUCACAACAAUAAAGCAAACACUUCUGCA